AGCUCCAGGGCAUGGAGUGCGUGUGUGUGUGUGUGUGUGUGUGUGUGUGUGCUUGCGCACGCGUGGGCAUCAGUGCCCAGCUUGGGGCGUGCCAGGCUUGGGGCGUGCCUUCCACUCAGUGCCCACUACACAUGGUGAUGAAUGGAGAGCCUGACUUGUGGAUCAGGAAGAAGAUGGGCAGAGAGGCACCCCAUUGCCCUGGAGUGACCUCCUGAGGCAGCCGACUCCCCAGGUUCACUGCAAUGCAACUCAAGGAGGUAUUUUUGCGUCCUUAGCGUUAUAAAUCAAUUUUAAUUGUAACAACAGAAACAUCAGCAGCAAACCUGAGCCAAACUGGCUGGGGGCCUUUUCUGCACUCUCUAACUAGCUCAAAUUAAAUGCUGAAUUGUA